GAUGUCUAUUUUUCCCCUUGGUUUCUUCCUUAACCGAGAAACUCCAUGCAAAGCCAUCGAAAGAAAAAUGCAAACACAAACCCUCCCAAAAACCCCGACUAGAUUACACAUGCACCGGCAAGUGCUCUCACGGAACACCUGAGUGAGCACACACCCCAGUGGAGGAGCUGACAGCCACAAAUAGGCACCAGGAAUCGCCUAACGCAGAGGGGACGAAUAUAGAUUUGAGACGAUUUAUCGUUUUGUAUUUUUCUUUUACUAUCCUAGGGUUUGGACUCUUUACUCCGGUUUUUGUUUUACAUCUUUUGGGUGUGCUAGGUUUUUGGGUUUCUCUUGUAAUGCGCUUUGACUAAUUGCGAAGUGCUGGAGAUUUAUUUUGGUUAUGUUUGUUUUGGUAAUUGGUUUGAAUUCCUGUUAUUUUUAAAACCUGGAUAGGUUUCUGUCUACAUAGCUGAAAUAAGUCCCAAGAACUUUAGAGGAGCAUUCACAAAUGCAUGACAGUCAAACUGAAGCACACAAAUAGUUCAAAUGCAAUAGCGAAAAUUAGAAUAAUGACGAUUACAUCCUAUGGCAGCUUUGGAACAAGGCAUAUACAUCUAUCAAAGCAUAAUGGUGGGGGUAUUUUUGUUAGACAUUAUAAUUUGAAAUGAGGUAGACAUGUAUGCAAAAUGUGAAUCACAUGCAAAGUACCUGAACUGUUUGACAGUAUGCAUCAAAGAGAUGUCAUCUCAUGGAAUGGCCCCGCAAAUGGCAUUCUAAUUGAAGGUUCUAUCAUUGUAGACUGCUUCCGGCUAUGCCUAUGGACUUGGAGGUGCUGACUGUAGAGCAGUCCUUAAGGGAGGUCAAUGCCACGAUCCAAACACAGUUGCAGCUCAUGCUUCCUAUGCUUUCAACAAUUAUUAUCAAAAGAAUAACAUGACACCUAGAACCUGUGAUUUUGGGGGCAAUGCAAUCAUCACUCAGACCAAUCCCAAUUGUGGAGCUCAGCCUGGACCAGUCUACAAUUUUUUUGGCGACAAAAAGUUAUCAGCCCUACAAAGUGCGAUAGAGUCUAGGUAUGAUGAUGAUUUUGUGAGAGAGGUUGCACAAACUUUUUCUUAAGAAGUGCGUUGAGCAACAAUGAGAAAAGUUGGCAAAUACUCCAAAGGGAUAUAUACAGCAGACUCCACUACAUCAUGCUUCUAGCAGGGGUUACGCACAAACGUGUCAAGUGCUUCUUCUCUUUGGAGCUAAACUAGAUAUUCGAGAUGAAGCUGACAUGACAGCCUUGCACGUUGCAGUUCGAAGGAAUAUGGAUGAUGUCAUAAAUGUAUUUAUGAAGCAUCAACAAAUUAGUGAGUUAGUUGAUUUAAAAGACAAAAUGGGAAAGAGCCCUUUAGAUGCAGCGAUUACUGAGACAGAUAUAAAAUUAGUAGCAAAGUUGAUUUCAGAGUCAAAACAGCCUGAAGCUUAUUUUGAUAAAGUGGAUUUGAAACAGAGAUACAAUAUUUUCCUUGCACAUACAGAAACAGUAAUUUUUUUUUAAUGCAAGAAAACACCAUUUUCUUUGAAAUAAAAAAUUGA